rnacentral:rRNA from 1 species
UGGGGGAUAUUGCACAAUGGGCGAAAGCCUGAUGCAGCGACGCCGCGUGGGGGAUGAAGGCCUUCGGGUUGUAAACUUCUUUUGCUCUGAACAAGGCGCACCAUGGGGUGUGUUGAGUGUAGGGGUUGAUUAGCGCCGGCUAACUACGUGCCAGCAGCCGCGGUAAUACGUAGGGCGCGAGCGGUGUCCGGAAUUAUUGGGCGUAAAGGGCUUGUAGGGGGCUGGUUGCGUCUGUCGUGAAAGCUCAUGGCUUAACUGUGGGUUUGCGGUGGGUACGGGCUGGCUUGAGUGCAGUAGGGGAGGCUGGAAUUCCUGGUGGAGCGGUGGAAUGCGCAGAUAUCAGGGGGAAAACCGGUGGCGAAGGCGGGUCUCUGGGCUGUUACUGACACUGAGGAGCGAAAGCAUGGGGAGCGAACAGG